rnacentral:rRNA from 1 species
GUGGCAGCCGCCGCGGUAAUACGAAGGGGGCUAGCGUUGCUCGGAAUUACUGGGCGUAAAGGGAGCGUAGGCGGACAUUUAAGUCAGGGGUGAAAUCCCGGGGCUCAACCUCGGAAUUGCCUUUGAUACUGGGUGUCCUGAGUAUGAGAGAGGUGUGUGGAACUCCGAGUGUAGAGGUGAAAUUCGUAGAUAUUCGGAAGAACACCAGUGGCGAAGGCGACACACUGGCUCAUUACUGACGCUGAGGCUCGAAAGCGUGGGGAGCAAACAGGAUUAGAUACCCUGGUAGUCCACGCCGUAAACGAUGAUUGCUAGUUGUCGGGAUGCAUGCAUUUCGGUGACGCAGCUAACGCACUAAGCAAUCCGCCGUGGGGAGUACGGUCGCAAGAUUAAAACUCAAAGGAAUAGGCGG